AUUGAACGCUGGCGGCAUGCCUUACACAUGCAAGUCGAACGGUAACGCGGGGCAACCUGGCGACGAGUGGCGAACGGGUGAGUAAUGUAUCGGAACGUGCCCAGUUGUGGGGGAUAACUGCUCGAAAGAGCAGCUAAUACCGCAUACGACCUGAGGGUGAAAGCGGGGGAUUGCAAGACCUCGCGCAAUUGGAGCGGCCGAAAGCAGAUUAGGUAGUUGGUGGGGUAAAGGCUCACCAAGCCGACGAUCUGUAGCUGGUCUGAGAGGACGACCAGCCACACUGGGACUGAGACACGGCCCAGACUCCUACGGGAGGCAGCAGUGGGGAAUUUUGGACAAUGGACGCAAGUCUGAUCCAGCCAUGCCGCGUGCGGGAAGAAGGCCUUCGGGUUGUAAACCGCUUUUGUCAGGGAAGAAAAGGCUCCUUCUAAUAUAGGGGGCUCAUGACGGUACCUGAAGAAUAAGCACCGGCUAACUACGUGCCAGCCGCCGCUGUAAGAC
rnacentral:rRNA from 1 species